GGUGAACGCUGGCGGUAGGCCUAACACAUGCAAGUCGAACGGCAGCACAGUAAGAGCUUGCUCUUACGGGUGGCGAGUGGCGGACGGGUGAGGAAUACAUCGGAAUCUACUUUUUCGUGGGGGAUAACGUAGGGAAACUUACGCUAAUACCGCAUACGACCUACGGGUGAAAGCAGGGGAUCUUCGGACCUUGCGCGAUUGAAUGAGCCGAUGUCGGAUUAGCUAGUUGGCGGGGUAAAGGCCCACCAAGGCGACGAUCCGUAGCUGGUCUGAGAGGAUGAUCAGCCACACUGGAACUGAGACACGGUCCAGACUCCUACGGGAGGCAGCAGUGGGGAAUAUUGGACAAAGGGCGCAAGCCUGAUCCAGCCAUACCGCGUGGGUGAAGAAGGCCUUCGGGUUGUAAAGCCCUUUUGUUGGGAAAGAAAAGCAGCAGGUUAAUACCCCGCUGUUCUGACGGUACCCAAAGAAUAAGCACCGGCCAACUUCGUG
rnacentral:rRNA from 1 species